rnacentral:lncRNA from 12 species
GGGGGGGGGGGGGGGGGGGGGGGGGGGGGGGGGGGGGGGGGGGGGGGGGGGGGGGGGGGGGGGGGGGGGGGGAUGUGCUGGGAUGUUCUGGGAUGUGCUGGAAUGGGCUGGGAGGUGCUGGAAGGUGCUGGGAUGUUCAGGGAUGUGCUGGGAUGUUCUGGGAUGUGCUGGGAUGUUCAGGGAUGUGCUGGGAUGUUCUGGGAUGUGCUGGAAUGGGCUGGGAGGUGCUGGAAGGUGCUGGGAUGUUCAGGGAUGUGCUGGGAUGUUCUGGGCUGUGCUGGGAUGUUCUGGGAUGUGCUGGAAGGGGCUGGGAUGUGCUGGGAUGUGCUGGGAUGUUCUGAGAAGUGCUGGAAGGGGUUGGGAUGUGCUGGAAUGUGCUGGGAGGUGCUGGGAUGUGCUGGAAGGUGCUGGGAGGUGCUGGAAUGUGUUGGGAUGUGCUAGAAGGUUCUGGGAUAUGCUGGAAGGGGCUGGGAUGUGCUGGGAUGUGCUGGGAUGUUCUGAGAAGUGCUGGAAGGGGUUGGGAGGUGCUGGAAUGUGCUGGGAGGUGCUGGGAUGUGCUGGAAGGUGCUGGGAGGUGCUGGAAUGUGCUGGGAGGUGCUGGGAUGUGCUGGGAUGUGCUGGAAGGUGCUGGGAUGUUCAGGGAUGCGCUGGGAUGUGCUGGGAUGUGCUGGGAGGUGCUGGGAUGUGCUGGAAUGUUCUGGGAUGUGCUGGAAGGUGCUGGGCAGGGUGACCACAUGGGCUGGGCGCUGCCUCAGCAUGGAGCAGCUCAGGCUGACACCUCCCUCCGUGUUCCAGGAGUUUGUUCCCUGUGUUUCCCAUCCCUGUGUUUCCCAUCCCUGUUUGCAUUCCCUUUCCUUUUCGUGCUCAGCCGUGAGUUCCCUGCCAGGAGCAGGCCCGGAAACAGCUCCUAGAAAAUGGAAUCUGGCCCGAGAGCUGGCUAUUGAAACG